AUCUACGGCCAUGCCACCCUGAACAAGCCCGAUCUUGUCCGAUCUUGGAAGCUAAGCAGGGUCGGGCCUGGUUAGUACUUGGAUGGGAGACCACCUAGGAAGACCAGGUGCUGUAGGCA
rnacentral:rRNA from 1 species